rnacentral:rRNA from 1 species
GACGAACGCUGGCGGCGUGCUUAACACAUGCAAGUCGAACGAUGAAGCCGGAGCUUGCUCUGGUGAAUUAGUGGCGAACGGGUGAGUAACACGUGAGUGACCUGCCCUUGACUCUGGGAUAACUGGGUCUAAUACCGGAUAGGACUCCGGACUGCAUGGUCUGGGGUGGAAAGCUUUUGCGGUGUGGGAUGGGCCCGCGGCCUAUCAGCUUGUUGGUGGGGUGAUGGCCUACCAAGGCGACGACGGGUAGCCGGCCUGAGAGGGUGACCGGCCACACUGGGACUGAGAUACGGCCCAGACUCCUACGGGAGGCAGCAGUGGGGAAUAUUGCACAAUGGGCGCAAGCCUGAUGCAGCGACGCCGCGUGAGGGAUGAAGGUCUUCGGAUUGUAAACCUCUUUCAGUAGGGACGAAGCGAAAGUGACGGUACCUAAAGAAGAAGCACCGGCUAACUACGUGCCAGCCGCCGCCGUAA